UACAGAGGUCCCGAGCGUUGUUCGGAUUCAUUGGGCGUAAAGGGUGCGUAGGCGGCGGGGCAAGUCUGAUGUGAAAUCCCGGGGCUCAACCCCGGAACUGCAUUGGAUACUGCCUUGCUAGAGUACUGGAGAGGGAACUGGAAUUUAACGGUGUAGCAGUGAAAUGCGUAGAGAUCGUAAGGAAGGCCAGUGGCGAAGGCGAGUUCCUGGACAGUUACUGACGCUGAGGCACGAAGGCCAGGGGAGCAAACGGG
rnacentral:rRNA from 1 species